rnacentral:rRNA from 1 species
UGGGGAAUAUUGCACAAUGGGGGAAACCCUGAUGCAGCGACGCCGCGUGAACGAAGAAGGUAUUCGUAUCGUAAAGUUCUGUCCUAUGGGAAGAUAAUGACAGUACCAUAGAAGAAAGCUCCGGCUAAAUACGUGCCAGCAGCCGCGGUAAUACAUAUGGAGCGAGCGUUGUCCGGAAUUAUUGGGCGUAAAGGGUACGCAGGCGGUUUAAUAAGUCGAAUGUUAAAGAUCGGGGCUCAACCCCGCAAAGCAUUGGAAACUGAUAAACUUGAGUAGUGGAGAGGAAAGUGGAAUUCCUAGUGUAGUGGUGAAAUACGUAGAUAUUAGGAGGAAUACCAGUAGCGAAGGCGACUUUCUGGACACAAACUGACGCUGAGGUACGAAAGCGUGGGGAGCAAACAGG